AUGAUUUUGCUUCAGCUUCUUCGA
rnacentral:siRNA from 1 species